rnacentral:rRNA from 1 species
AAAUUGAAGAGUUUGAUCAUGGCUCAGAUUGAACGCUGGCGGCAGGCCUAACACAUGCAAGUCGAACGGUAACAGGAAGCGCUUGCUGCUUCGCUGACGAGUGGCGGACGGGUGAGUAAUGUCUGGGAAACUGCCUGAUGGAGGGGGAUAACUACUGGAAACGGUAGCUAAUACCGCAUAACGUCGCAAGACCAAAGAGGGGGACCUUCGGGCCUCUUGCCAUCGGAUGU